rnacentral:misc_RNA from 1 species
AAGUCGUAACAAGGUUUCCGUAGGUGAACCUGCGGAAGGAUCAUUAAAAAAGUACGCCCCAGCUAAGGUGUAAAAACGCUGACUGCUGGUGGCUGUAUUCAACCACUUGUUUACUUGUACCUGUUGCUUCCGUGGAGUUACGGGUGCUCGCCCUGUUCGCAGGUGUGGGUUACCUUCCACGGGUGUAGUUUGAACGCUUGUUUAGUUGCAUGUAGUGUCUGAAUAACUAUUUUAAUAAAGUUAAAACUUUCAACAACGGAUCUCUAGGUUCUC